rnacentral:rRNA from 1 species
CAGAAACGGCGUCCCAGUUCGGAUUGCAGCCUGCAACUCGGCUGCAUGAAGCUGGAAUCGCUAGUAAUCGCGGAUCAGAAUGCCGCGGUGAAUACGUUCCCGGGUCUUGUACACACCGCCCGUCACACCAUGGGAGUCGGAAAUGCCCGAAGCCGGUGACUCAACCUUUAAGGAGAGAGCCGUCGAAGGCAGGUCUGAUAACUGGGGUGAAGUCGUAACAAGGUAGC